rnacentral:rRNA from 1 species
AAUGGGCGCAAGCCUGAUCCAGCAAUGCCGCGUGUGUGAAGAAGGCCUGCGGGUUGUAAAGCACUUUCAGUGGGGAAGAACGGAUGCGGGCCAAUACCCCGGAUCACUGACGUUACCCACAGAAGAAGCACCGGCUAACUCCGUGCCAGCAGCCGCGGUAAUACGGAGGGUGCAAGCGUUAAUCGGAAUCACUGGGCGUAAAGCGCACGUAGGCGGCCCGUUAAGUCAGAUGUGAAACCCCUGGGCUCAACCUGGGAAUGGCAUUUGAUACUAGCGGGCUCGAGUCUGAUAGAGGGGGGUGGAAUUCCAGGUGUAGCGGUGAAAUGCGUAGAUAUCUGGAGGAACACCGGUGGCGAAGGCGGCCCCCUGGAUCAUGACUGACGCUGAGGUGCGAAAGCGUGGGUAGCAAA